GACAGAGGGUGCAAACGUUGUUCGGAAUUACUGGGCGUAAAGCGCGUGUAGGCGGCUAAGUAAGUCGGGCGUGAAAUCCCACGGCUCACCCGUGGAACUGCUUGGUAUACUGGUCGUCUUGAGCCUUCUAGGGGCGAGUGGAACAAAUGGUGGAGCGGUGAAAUGACGUAGAUAUCAUUUGGAACGCCAAUGGUGAAAACAACUCGCUGGGGAAGUGCUGACGCUGAGACACGAAAGCCAGGGGAGCGAACGGG
rnacentral:rRNA from 1 species